AUGGAAGUGAGAAAUAGAUUUAAGGGCCUAGAUCUGAUAGAUAAAGUACCUGAUGAACUAUGGACAGAGGUUCGUGACAUUGUACAGGAGACAGGGAUCAAGACCAUCCCCAUGGAAAAGAAAUGCAAAAAAGCAAAAUGGCUGUCUGAGGAGGCCUUACAAAUAGCUGUGAAAAGAAGAGAAGCAAAAAGCAAAGGAGAAAAGGAAAGAUAUAAACAUCUGAAUGCAGAGUUCCAAAGAAUAGCAAGAAGAGAUAAGAAAGCCUUCUUCAGCGAUCAAUGCAAAGAAAUAGAAGAAAACAACAGAAUGGGAAAGACUAGGGACCUCUUCAAGAAAAUCAGAGAUACCAAAGGAAAUUUUCACGCAAAGAUGGGCUCGAUAAAAGACAGAAAUGGUAUGGACCUAACAGAAGCAGAAGAUAUUAAGAUGAGGUGGCAAGAAUACACAGAAGAACUGUACAAAAAAGAUCUUCACGACCAAGAUAAUCACAGUGGUGUGAUCACUGACCUAGAGCCAGACAUCCUGGAAUGUGAAGUCAAGUGGGCCUUAGGAAGCAUCACUAUGAACAAAGCUAGUGGAGGUGAUGGAAUUCCAGUUGAGCUAUUCCAAAUCCUGAAAGAUGAUGCUGUGAAAGUGCUGCACUCAAUAUGCCAGCAAAUUUGGAAAACUCAGCAGUGGCCACAGGACUGGAAAAGGUCAGUUUUCAUUCCAAUCCCAAAGAAAGGCAAUGCCAAAGAAUGCUCAAACUACUGCACAAUUGCACUCAUCUCACACACUACUAAAGUAAUGCUCAAAAUUCUCCAAGCCAGGAUUCAGCAACAUGUGAACCAUGAACUUCUGACGUUCAAGCUGGUUUUAGAAAAGGCAGAGGAACCAGAGAUCAAAUUGCCAACAUCUGCUGGAUCAUGGAAAAAGCAAGAGAGUUCCAGAAAAACAUCUAUUUCUGUUUUAUUGACUAUGCCAAAACCUUUGACUGUGUGGAUCACAAUAAACUGUGGAAAAUUCUGA
rnacentral:lncRNA from 1 species